rnacentral:rRNA from 1 species
CGCAAUGGACGAAAGUCUGACGGAGCAACGCCGCGUGAGUGAUGACGGCCUUCGGGUUGUAAAGCUCUGUUAAUCGGGACGAAAGGCCUUCUUGCGAAUAGUUAGAAGGAUUGACGGUACCGGAAUAGAAAGCCACGGCUAACUACGUGCCAGCAGCCGCGGUAAUACGUAGGUGGCAAGCGUUGUCCGGAAUUAUUGGGCGUAAAGCGCGCGCAGGCGGAUAGGUCAGUCUGUCUUAAAAGUUCGGGGCUUAACCCCGUGAUGGGAUGGAAACUGCCAAUCUAGAGUAUCGGAGAGGAAAGUGGAAUUCCUAGUGUAGCGGUGAAAUGCGUAGAUAUUAGGAAGAACACCAGUGGCGAAGGCGACUUUCUGGACGAAAACUGACGCUGAGGCGCGAAAGCCAGGGGAGCGAACGGGAUUAGAUACCCCGGUAGUCCUGGCCGUAAACGAUGGGUACUAGGUGUAGGAGGUAUCGACCCCUUCUGUGCCGGAGUUAACGCCAUAAGUACCCCGCCUGGGGAGUACGACCGCAAGGUUGAAACUCAAAGGAAUUGACGGGGGCCCGCACAAGCGGUGGAGUAUGUGGUU